UUGGAGGGCAAGUCUGGUGCCAGCAGCCGCGGUAAUUCCAGCUCCAAUAGCGUAUAUUAAAGUUGUUGCAGUUAAAAAGCUCGUAGUUGAAUUUCGGGAUCAAUAUGUCGGUCGUGCCAUUGGUACGUACUGGUAUCAUUGAUUUCUCCUUUCUGACGAACCAUGAUGUCAUUAAUUUGGUGUUAUGGGGAGUUAGGACUGUUACUUUGAAAAAAUUAGAGUGUUUAAAGCAGGCAUUAGCUUGAAUACAUUAGCAUGGAAUAAUGAAAUAGGACGUUUGACCCUAUUUUGUUGGUUUCUAGGAUCGACGUAAUGAUUAAUAGGGAUAGUUGGGGGCAUUAGUAUUCAAUUGUCAGAGGUGAAAUUCUUGGAUUUAUUGAAGACUGACUACUGCGAAAGCAUUUGCCAAGGAUGUUUUCAUUAAUCAAGAACGAAAGUUAGGGGAUCGAAGACGAUCAGAUACCGUCGUAGUCUUAACCAUAAACUAUGCCGACUAGGGAUCGGAUGAUGUUAAUUCUUUAAUGACUCAUUCGGCGCCUUACGGGAAAC
rnacentral:rRNA from 1 species